rnacentral:rRNA from 1 species
AUGAAUUUGUAUAUCCAAUUGAUGGAUGUGGUGACAUCAUAUUUAUGUGGGUCACUCAAGGAGGAUAUCUACAUAAAAGUUUCCGAGGGACUAAAGAUUCCGGAUCUGAAAGCUAAUCGCAACAUGUAUUGGGUAAAGCUACAAAAGUCGUUAUACGGCUUGAGACAGUCAAGUAGAAUAUGGUAUAAUCGACUAAGUGAGUUCCUUCUGACGAAGGGAUACUUGAAUAACAAUGAUUGCCCAUGUGUGUUCAUCAAGAAAUCCAUUGAUGGAUUUUGUAUAAUUUUCGUGUAUUUUGAUGACUUGAACAUCAUUGGGACUACACGAGAAAUACAUGAGGCAAGUAAUCUUUUGAAGACGAAAUUCGAGAUGAAAGAUUUGGGUAAAGCCAAAUUUUGUCUUGGUUUGCAACUUGAAAUUUUUUCUUUAGGAAUACUUGUUCAUGAGUAUGCUUACAUCCAAAAGAUACUGGAAAAAUUCAAUAUGGAUAAAGCAUACCCGUCAAAAACACAUAUGGUCGUCAGGUUCCUUGAUAGAGAUAAGGACCCAUCUAGGCCUAAGGGUUAUGAAGAGAUAUUGGGCCAGAGUUUCCAUAUCUCAGUGCCAUUGGUGCGCUAA